rnacentral:rRNA from 1 species
ACAGAGGUCUCAAGCGUUGUUCGGAAUUACUGGGCGUAAAGAGUGCGUAGGCGGCGCGGUAAGUCAGAUGUGAAAUCCCGGGGCUCAACCCCGGAACUGCAUACGAUACUGCCGCGCUAGAGGGCUGGAGAGGAGACUGGAAUUCACGGUGUAGCAGUGAAAUGCGUAGAUAUCGUGAGGAACACCAAUGGCGAAGGCAAGUCUCUGGACAGCUUCUGACGCUGAGGCACGAAGGCUAGGGGAGCGAACAGG